rnacentral:misc_RNA from 1 species
GUCAUUUGUAACUGCCCCGCCGCAUUUCCCGGAGGAGGGACCUCGCCGGAGAGGGAACGCUCCCGGGAGGGAGAGGCGGUCGUGCUCGUCGUACCUCCCUGACGGCGAGCAUCCAGCAAGGAGGCCAGCCACCGGACCGCUGCUGCCUCUCACUCUCAGUCACUGUCCAGCUACAGCCCCUCCAGCUAGCAGGAUGGCAGGAUUUCCGAGUGGUGCCCUCACCUCCGUCCGUGUCCUGUUCUUCCUAUGGCGUAUGGCCAGGAGGGAAGUGCAGGCAGGCAGGCAGGCUCGUGACUUGGGUGAGGAAGAUUACAGAAUAUGG